GUAACAAGGUUUCCGUAGGUGAACCUGCGGAAGGAUCAUUGUCGAAUGCUCGCAAUCAGUUUGACCGGGGAACAUGUUUAUUUGACCCACGGGGGGUUGGCACGAUCUCAUCUUGCCCUACCCCCGUUGCCGGACGGCGGUCGUGCGUGGCGCUGCUUCCGCUCGGCAAACACAAACCCCGGCGCCCUCGUGCGCCAAGGAAUCCGGAACUGUUCAGUGCGGCCCCGGGGGAGUUGGAGACAACGUCCCGCGGGUGCCGUCACCACACACGAAAGAGAAUGACUCUCGGCAAUGGAUAUCUCGGCUCUUGCAUCGAUGAAGAACGUAGCGAAAUGCGAUACGUGGUGUGAAUUGCAGAAUCCCGUGAACCAUCGAGUCUUUGAACGCAAGUUGCGCCCGAAGCCAUUAGGCCGAGGGCAUGCCUGCCUGGGUGUCACACACCGUUAACCUCACGCAAAAGGUCUAACUAAACUGUCGGCCGACGCGGGAUGUGUACGUUGACCUCCCGCGAGCUGUGACUCGUGGUUGGUUGAAAUUCGAGUUCACGGUCGAGUGCGCCGUGAUAAAAUGGUGGACGGGCAAAUGCUCGAGACCAAUCACGCGCGAUCCUGUCCGGUGUGACCCUUGGACCCCUGUGGCGUCUUCGGAUGCUCUCGGCGAGACCUCAGGUCAGGCGGGGCUACCCGCUGAGUUUAAGCAUAUC
rnacentral:rRNA from 1 species